rnacentral:rRNA from 1 species
GACGAACGCUGGCGGCGUGCUUAACACAUGCAAGUCGAACGCUGAAGCCCCAGCUUGCUGGGGUGGAUGAGUGGCGAACGGGUGAGUAACACGUGAGUAACCUGCCCAUCACUCUGGGAUAAGCGCUGGAAACGGCGUCUAAUACUGGAUACGAGCAGCGACCGCAUGGUCAGCUGCUGGAAAGACUGGUUCGGUGAUGGAUGGACUCGCGGCCUAUCAGCUUGUUGGUGAGGUAAUGGCUCACCAAGGCGACGACGGGUAGCCGGCCUGAGAGGGUGACCGGCCACACUGGGACUGAGACACGGCCCAGACUCCUACGAGAGGCAGCAGUGGGGAAUAUUGCACAAUGGGCGCAAGCCUGAUGCAGCAACGCCGCGUGAGGGAUGACGGCCUUCGGGUUGUAAACCUCUUUUAGUAGGGAAGAAGCCUUCGGGUGACGGUACCUGCAGAAAAAGCACCGGCUAACUACGUGCCAGCCGCCGCAGUAACAC